GACACACGUGACCGCCAUUGUUGAUCGCAAGGAAGAACCGGCAGCGCCAACCAGCCGCGUUAUUCCUGGCUUUUUUGCCAGAAUCAGGACACUGAUAGCAUACUCGUUCUCCCGUCUUUCUAAGUGGUACCCUCGAGAGGUAUAAUACCGGGACGAAGGCUCAUUCAUUCGUUCAGUCACGUAACCGAGAUUAGGAGUGUUUGGCGCCGAUGUUUUUAACGGCUAAUGACGGUAUAUUCCUCGAUCUUUCGACGAAUGGAACACUUUCGAGAAUCUUUGAUCUGUAGUGAAUUACAGAUCAAUCCAGGUUGUUUUUUGUAAAGUUCACAUAGACGAGUUCUUAAUUUGGAUAUAGAGAAAAUUGGAAUACAUGGAAUGAUGAUAUGAUGAAUUCAUAAAAUCAAGUAAAAUAACCAGAAUUAAAAUGAGAAUCAUAACUCGUACAAGUUCAGGAACCAUUACGACUGCAAUGUCCACAUCCAUAAACCCUUAUUUUCAACAUCUCGAUUUUAUUUCUUUUGUAUUCGGACACCGAACCGUGUAAAUUCAAGGAAACACAAAACGCCAUGUGUAAACAUAGAUAUCAGUAACGUACCCAGUAGCUCAAGAAAUUAUUCAAAUGUUUGUUAAAAAAUAUUUUUAUGCAAAAACAUAAAAAAAAGAGAUGCUAAAAAUUUGAGAAUGAAUUUUAAAUUUCCAUCAAUAAUUUAUUAUAUUUUAUAUACAUACAAAUCAUUAUUUGAGUUAAUCAAAUUUCUCAUGGGCUUAACGAGUAUCAACGUCGACCAGUUCCCAAGAAGUCGAGGCAGAAAAGUGUACGACUGUUGUCUCAUUCAUCGGCGACGAGGAAGAAGACCCUUGUCCCAUUCAUCGUAGUCCCGUCACGCUUGACGGGGACCUAGGUUAGCUGGAUUUUAAGCGCGGCAAGAGCGCAAGAAGGCACCAAUGGGGACCGUUCGAGUCCCGAUGGGAGAUGAAGAACACGUUUCUUCUUCCUCGUCAAAAGAGUAACAAGAAUGUCAUAAGCGGCCAGACGAAGAAGACACGGUGAAUUGGUUGUCUGUGUAACGAGACCCCGACCACAAUUACAGUACUAAUGGAACCCACUACUUUAUAUGAUCUGGAGAAACGAUAUUAUGUUGUGAUCGAUUAUUCUUGAGGCAAUUCACGAAAUUAGGUUCUGUGAAAACAACGAAUAUGGUUAUUUGAGUUUUUAAAAUUAAAUGAUUAUUAUUUUAAUUUUUUUAAUUAAUAAAUAUAUGUAUCAAGGAUAAAAUAUAAAAAUUCUUCGAAACUCUUGGAUAAAAUGGAUUUUAUAAUUUCUUAUUGUAUAUAUGAAUUUAUUUUUAUUUGAUUAAUACAAUUGAAUUCAUGAAACGUAAAAAUAAGAAAAUAAUUUUUUGCAAAAAGAGAUUAGAUGCUAUUAUCAUUACUUUAUGAAUCUGACAUGAGUUUUGAAAUCUAACAAUUAAGUUUAUAUUAAC